GGAGGAAAAGAAACCAACAGGGAUUGCCUCAGUAACGGCGAGUGAAGCGGCAAAAGCUCAAAUUUUAAAGCUGGCAUCUUCGGUGUCCGCGUUGUAAUUUUGUGAGGCAUCUCCGGGUAGGGCGCCAGCCUAAGUUCCUUGGAACAGGACGUCACAGAGGGUGAGAAUCCCGUGCUUGGCUGGCUGUCCCCGCCCACGUGAGGCGUCUUCGACGAGUCGAGUUGUUUGGGAAUGCAGCUCAAAAUGGGUGGUAAAUUUCAUCUAAAGCUAAAUAUUGGUGGGAGACCGAUAGCGCACAAGUAGAGUGAUCGAAAGAUGAAAAGCACUUUGAAAAUAGAGUUAAAAAGUACGUGAAAUUGUUGAAAGGGAAGCGCUUGAGACCAGACUUCGGUAGGGGGUGAUCAGCCGUCCUUCUGGGCGGUGCACUUGCCCCCCUCCGGGCCAGCAUCGGUUGAGGCGGCGGGAUAAAGGUCCCGGGAACGUGGCUCCUUCACGGGAGUGUUAUAGCCCGGGUGAAUGCCGCCAGCCUCGACCGAGGACCGCGCCCGCAAGGGUUAGGAUGCUUGGCAUAAUGGUCUUCAGCGACCCGUCU
rnacentral:rRNA from 1 species